rnacentral:lncRNA from 1 species
GUGUACUGCCAGAGACUGAGGGAGCAUACUAGGUAACACGGACAAUAAAUUGAUAUUGAAACAUUUCAAGGAGCCCAUGUUUUGAAAAAAUAACUUGGCUAGUUUAGCGUUUAAUCGCAUACAUUCGUCUUUUCGCGUAAGUCAGUCAAGUGUCACACUAACAUCCAGUGGCUUUUGUGGAUGUUGUGGGGUUUUGACUAGACAAACAAAAUCUCACAGGCUUCAGGAUGUUUCUGUUCUCCAAAAAGAAGAAACCUGGUGAGGAUUCCAUAAAACGCCUGGAGUACCAGCUGUGCUUGGCCAAAGAAGCAGGUGCUGAUGAUAUUCUGGACAUUUCUGCCUGUGAACUUACAGAGGUGAAUUACAGAAGUCCUACAAUCAUUAUUUACAUAUUGGUGAAAUGCUCAUCUAAG